UACAGAGGUCCCGAGCGUUGUUCGGAUUCACUGGGCGUAAAGGGUGCGUAGGUGGCGAUGAAAGUUCGAUGUGAAAUCUCCGGGCUUAACCCGGAAAAGGCAUUGAAAACUAUGUUGCUUGAGGUUUGGAGGGGGGACUGGAAUUCUUGGUGUAGCAGUGAAAUGCGUAGAUAUCAAGAGGAACACCAGUGGCGAAGGCGAGUCCCUGGACAACACCUGACACUGAGGCACGAAAGCCGGGGGAGCAAACAGG
rnacentral:rRNA from 1 species